rnacentral:misc_RNA from 1 species
UGUGUCAAAUCUUGGACAAAAAGAAUCGUGCACUGUUACACCCAACACUCUAAAACAAACAUAGACUGACCCUCUGUUAUUGUUUGUUUAAGAAUGUGAACGAAACUCUGUGACGUGCAGGUUCCUAGAUGUGUCAGAUUGGAUACGUAUAGUACAAAAUGUUGUGUUGAAUCAUUCAUAAAACCAUGUGCCAUUACAUGUACAGAUUUCUUAGCUCUACCUCGACACGUGAUGCUGAACCAUUUCGAGUGGAGCUGAUACUAGUAGUCGGUUGACCAUUGUAAUGCGUUUGUCAAACUUUGUAAGGAAGGAUUUCAUUCUACUGUGCCAACAUGUCCUAGACAUUGAAAGUUUAUAGAGCUACUAUUAUAGGAAAUGCUAGUAAUUCAUUUUUGUUCAUUCAUUACCUUUCAUGUUGAUCGAUAUUCAUAAACAAUCACUUGAUUAUUUCUAGUGUGUGUAUGAAGAAUUUUGUUUAAAACUAAACAUGGAAAGCCUUUGUUUUUUUCCCCACAGAGUAUAUAUAUUUAGAAUUAGCAACAAAUUUGUAAAUGAUUGCUUUAUAUGACAGGGUUGUUUGAAUUGUAUCUGUGUAUUUUAUUUUCUAAAUCAAGUGAAGACGCCUAAUGAUUUCCGUCUCCAGAUUUUAGUAUGUGCCAAGUUUGUUGUGUGUGGAAUAUGUGUACAUUAAUUUUGUUCUGUACACACAGAUAGUUUUACUAUAUACGGAAAACAGUGUAAUAUAAGUAUUCCAGGAAAACAGAGUACGAUUAUUACAGAUAUAAACUGUGCCUUUAAAAUUCGUAUUAAAUUCAUAAUAAAAUCCGUCCAUGAUUUAGGAUAUUUUAUAUAUUAUUUAAUAAUGUUUUGUAUAGCGCUGUUUACAGUGCUGGGAUUGUAAAUGGCUUCAGGAGAAAGAAAAUAAAUUAUUGUUGAAAGU